AACGCACAUUGCGCCCUUUGGCAUUCCGAGGGGCAUGCCCGUUCGAGCGUCAUUAAAUCCAAUCAAGCCUAGCUUGGUAUUGGGCGUCGGGGGUCUCCCGCGCCUCAAUUUCGCCGGCUGGCCGUCGCCCGUCUUAGCGUUUUGACACAUCUCGCUGACGAAGGGACCGGAUCACGCCGUUAGAACCUCACGAAUUUCGAUAGGAAUUCGAUUAGGUUGACCUCGGAUCGGGUAGGAAUACCCGCUGAACUUAA
rnacentral:misc_RNA from 1 species